rnacentral:rRNA from 1 species
GAUAAACGCUGGCGGCGUGCUUCAGGCAUGCAAGUCGAACGGUUCAUAGGCCUUCGGGCUUAUGGAUAGUGGCGGACGGGUGAGUAACGCGUGGAUAAUCUGCCUUUUAGUUGGGAAUAACGUACCGAAAGGUGCGCUAAUACCGGAUAAUACUAAGCAACUACUGUUGCUUAGUCAAAGAAGGCCAAUGUUUACAAGCUUUUGCUGAAAGAUGAGUCCGCGUACCAUUAGCUAGUUGGUAGGGUAAUGGCCUACCAAGGCUACGAUGGUUAGCUGGUCUGAGAGGAUGAUCAGCCACACUGGAACUGAGACACGGUCCAGACUCCUACGGGAGGCAG